GCAGUCUGCAACUCGACUGCAUGAAGCUGGAAUCGCUAGUAAUCGCGGAUCAGAAUGCCGCGGUGAAUACGUUCCCGGGUCUUGUACACACCGCCCGUCACACCAUGGGAGUCGGAUAUGCCCGAAGUCAGUGACCCAACCGCAAGGAGGGAGCUGCCGAAGGUGGAGCCGAUGACUGGGGUGAAGUCGUAACAAGGUAGC
rnacentral:rRNA from 1 species